GACGAACGCUGGCGGCGUGCUUAACACAUGCAAGUCGAACGGAAAGGCCCUGCUUUUGUGGGGUGCUCGAGUGGCGAACGGGUGAGUAACACGUGAGUAACCUGCCCUUGACUUUGGGAUAACUUCAGGAAACUGGGGCUAAUACCGGAUAGGAGCUCCUGCUGCAUGGUGGGGGUUGGAAAGUUUCGGCGGUUGGGGAUGGACUCGCGGCUUAUCAGCUCGUUGGUGGGGUAGUGGCUUACCAAGGCUUUGACGGGUAGCCGGCCUGAGAGGGUGACCGGCCACAUUGGGACUGAGAUACGGCCCAGACUCCUACGGGAGGCAGCAGUGGGGAAUAUUGCACAAUGGGCGGAAGCCUGAUGCAGCAACGCCGCGUGCGGGAUGACGGCCUUCGGGUUGUAAACCGCUUUCGCCUGUGACGAAGCGUGAGUGACGGUAAUGGGUAAAGAAGCACCGGCUAACUACGUGCCAGCAGCCGCGGUGAUACGUAGGGUGCGAGCGUUGUCCGGAUUUAUUGGGCGUAAAGGGCUCGUAGGUGGUUGAUCGCGUCGGAAGUGUAAUCUUGGGGCUUAACCCUGAGCGUGCUUUCGAUACGGGUUGACUUGAGGAAGGUAGGGGAGAAUGGAAUUCCUGGUGGAGCGGUGGAAUGCGCAGAUAUCAGGAGGAACACCAGUGGCGAAGGCGGUUCUCUGGGCCUUUCCUGACGCUGAGGAGCGAAAGCGUGGGGAGCGAACAGGCUUAGAUACCCUGGUAGUCCACGCUGUAAACGGUGGGUACUAGGUGUGGGGUCCAUUCCACGGGUUCCGUGCCGUAGCUAACGCUUUAAGUACCCCGCCUGGGGAGUACGGCCGCAAGGCUAAAACUCAAAGGAAUUGACGGGGCCCCGCACAAGCGGCGGAGCAUGCGGAUUAAUUCGAUGCAACGCGUAGAACCUUACCUGGGUUUGACAUGGAUCGGGAGUGCUCAGAGAUGGGUGUGCCUCUUUUGGGGUCGGUUCACAGGUGGUGCAUGGCUGUCGUCAGCUCGUGUCGUGAGAUGUUGGGUUAAGUCCCGCAACGAGCGCAACCCUUGUUCACUGUUGCCAGCACGUUAUGGUGGGGACUCAGUGGAGACCGCCGGGGUCAACUCGGAGGAAGGUGGGGAUGACGUCAAGUCAUCAUGCCCCUUAUGUCCAGGGCUUCACGCAUGCUACAAUGGCUGCUACAGAGAGUGGCGAGCCUGUGAGGGUGAGCGAAUCUCGGAAAGCCGGUCUCAGUUCGGAUUGGGGUCUGCAACUCGACCUCAUGAAGUCGGAGUCGCUAGUAAUCGCAGAUCAGCAACGCUGCGGUGAAUACGUUCCCGGG
rnacentral:rRNA from 1 species